CCCUUAGAUGUUCUGGGCCGCACGCGCGCUACACUGACGAAUGCAACGAGCUUAUAACCUUGGCCGAAAGGUCUGGGUAAUCUCCAAAUUUCGUCGUGAUGGGGAUAGAUUAUUGCAAUUAUUAAUCUUCAACGAGGAAUGCCUAGUAAGCGCAAGUCAUCAGCUUGCGUUGAUUACGUCCCUGCCCUUUGUACACACCGCCCGUCGCUCCUACCGAUUGAAUGGUCCGGUGAAGCGCUCGGACCGCGGCCUCUUGACGGUUUUCCGUCGAUUGGUUGUGGGAAGUUCGUUAAACCUUAUCAUUUAGAGGAAGGAGAAGUCGUAACA
rnacentral:rRNA from 1 species